GAAAUGCGAUAAGUAGUGUGAAUUGCAGAAUUCAGUGAAUCAUCGAAUCUUUGAACGCACAUUGCGCCCCUUGGUAUUCCAUGGGGCAUGCCUGUUCGAGCGUCAUUUGUACCUUCAAGCUUUGCUUGGUGUUGGGUGUUUGUCUCGCCUCUGCGUGUAGACUCGCCUCAAAACAAUUGGCAGCGGCCCUUGCCUCCCUCUCGCGCAGCACAUUGCGCUUCUCGAGGCGCGGCGGACCGCGUCCAGCAAGCAACCGUCACACCGUCUUUGACCUCGGAUCAGGUAGGGAUACCCGCUGAACUUAAGC
rnacentral:misc_RNA from 1 species